CAACGGGUCAUGUGACGGGCGCGCGGGCGGGCAGGGCCGUCCCGCGGUCCGAUAUAAGGAGCCCCACGGCGGGAAGUUUUCCUCACGUUGAUCCUCGGACGGGACGCUUGACUGCACGACGACAAUGGCGCGCACCUCUUUCCUGUGUGCAGUGGUGUACCGGCUGCUGAGCCUGGUGGCCCUCUGGGCGCUGGUGUUCGUGGUGGCCGAAGGACGCUACUUACCGACCAGGUCCGGAGACGAACUACGCGGGGAACGCCUGCGGGAGCUCAUAAGGACCCUGUUCGAGAGGGCCGAGCUGGAGAAGGCGGCGGGUCUCUACCCGUAUGCCGGUGACGGCCGUAGUGGCAUGCUCAGCGGUCAAGAAUGAAGAAUGCUGUCACGGUUGUUACCGGCAGCACGGAAUCCCCGAAGAAGCCACCCUUGAUUGAGAAUAAACAUUCUGCAGCCGCCUUCCACGAGCGGCGAGUGAAAUUUUACCCGUGUGCGGACUCCAUGCCUCGACAAGUUUGAAAAUCACCCGAGAGCAGAGAUCGCUGACGAAGAGCUAUCCUAAUGUCCCCCUGUCGCACCAUUUCUCCCCAAAAUCUGCUUGACGCGCCCUGCCGCUGUGGGGUCCCUGCGGCCCGCUGCCGAGCAGGUCGUGGGUUCGAUGGCUCGCCGCGGCGGCCCCACUGCCGCUUAAGCAAAAUGCAAGAAAUCAGUUUACAAUUUCCAAGAAAAAAUGGCAGUCAAUAGUCUCCGCUUGCAGUAGAUUUCUUCGGCUCAGAUAUUUCUCCCCUGGUGACUAGAAAUUAAAGAUGCUUUAGAAACCCUA
rnacentral:misc_RNA from 1 species